GCUUAUCACCUUUCCAGAUUGAAUAUAUCCGAUCUCGUCUGAUCUCGGAAGUUAAGCAAUCUCGGGCUUGGUUAGUACUUGGAUGGGUGACCGCUUGGGAAUACCAAGUGUGAUAAGCA
rfam:Ciona savignyi cont_36972, whole genome shotgun sequence.